rnacentral:snRNA from 1 species
UAUAUCAUAGCCAAUGAGGUUAAUCUGAGGCGUGAUUAUUGCUAGUUGAAAACUUUUCCCAUC